rnacentral:lncRNA from 1 species
GUGGAUCCCACUAUGACUCCAGCAUUCGAUGAUCUGAACCUCCUGACCACACACGACCAUUAUAGCUGCCGUUGUAGGAAAUAGCAAGAGGCUCCGGGGCCCAGCCUGUGAUUUCAGCUGAGCCCAUCAUCCCUGCUCAGUGGCCUGGCUACCUGCCUCAGUUGGUAUUGAGCGCGAAGCGUUGCCUCGGGCAAAAUCCAUCAAAGAUGUCUGUAUGCAGGGCGGAGAAUGUCAUGAAUAAUUUAUGCUUCCUUUCGCUCUCUCUAUAUAUGUUCAGCACUGUAAAUUGCUAAAUGUUUUAGAUCCAAUUUGCUAUGCAGUAAAACUCAUUUUUUGAAGUGUGCAUUGGCUUGAUGAGAUAAUUUCCAAAAACAGGUUGUUAAAUUCAUGCACUAUGGUUCAGCUCAGCCAGUGUUUUUUUCAGAUGUUUGUUCUGUACAUUUUCCCCCUUUCAUCUCCGUAAACCUCAAAGAUGCCGAAGACGGAGAGGAUUUUCUCUUUAUCACAGCCUUCUGCCUCCCCUGCCCCUAAAGCAUCUGUAUCCUUUUUAUUAAUCCAUCUCAGGGCCUCUGAAGACUUUUAGUGCAUUCAUGUAGAUUUUGUUUCAGCUGGGAUCCCGUCCCACAGACAUCACAUGUCAGGGAACGUGGGAAUUACUUCAUGUAAAUGAAAGAGUGAGCCAAUUCACCAGUGAGACUAGCGCUCCUUAACGAGAAGGAAGCAAGAGGCGGAGUGGCUGCUCUCAGGUAAUGGAGGAGCUUUGCUGUUUUCUGGGGCAGCUCUUGCAUUUUGAUGUCUAUGUUUGAUGUUUCCCCUAAUCCUGACCUCCACAUCUGCAUCUGCCACUGGUAAAGAGCUAUCGAAGAGCCAACAUUGUGGCUGGUUAUGAAUUAUACAGGUGUCUCAAGCAGGGCAGCCUAAGGAGCUGUCAAUAUGGGAUCUGUCACGUGAAUCCAUCCACGUGACUGGGAGCAACACGGAGAUGAGACUCUGUGCCAGGGGCAUGGCACGGUGGAUGCGGCGCAAGGUCCUCUAUCACCCUUGGUUCCGGAACCCAGUCUGGAACUUAGCGCUGGAGCAGCACCGAGGGGAAUGGCAAUGUACUUCUAAACACUUUGUCUCUUGUCUUUCACUUCACUUUCACUUUCACGCCCCCACUUCUUUGUCACUGACAUAUCCAGCCUUUGUGGCAGAAAUGAAGACCAUGUUCUGCCAUCUGGAAGGAGUGGAAGACAUCUCAUUGUUUAUCAUCUGCACGAGGGUUUUUCAUUAGUCACUCAAUUCACUGCGAAAUUCUGGACCUUGGCUGCCUCAGGGCCUUGGCUGCCUCAGACUGGGCACUUCCCACAGGGUGCUGGGCACUUCACUGGAGGUGGGCAUUCUCUGCAGCAGGCGGGGGCCGUUCUUCUGGGUAGGCAUGUCCGCAUCCAGAGCUGGAGAGG